rnacentral:rRNA from 1 species
UACAGAGGUCUCAAGCGUUGUUCGGAUUCAUUGGGCGUAAAGGGUGUGUAGGUGGCGCGCUAAGUCGGGUGUGAAAUUCGGAGCUUAACUCCGAAGCUGCAUUCGAUACUGGCGUGCUUGAGGACUGGAGAGGAGACUGGAAUUUACGGUGUAGCAGUGAAAUGCGUAGAUAUCGUAAGGAAGACCAGUGGCGAAGGCGGGUCCUCUGGACAGUUCCUGACACUGAGACACGAAGGCCAGGGGAGCAAACGGG